AGGGAAUCUUCCACAAUGGACGAAAGUCUGAUGGAGCAACGCCGCGUGAGUGAUGAAGGGUUUCGGCUCGUAAAACUCUGUUGUUGGAGAAGAACAGGUGUGAGAGUAACUGUUCACAUCUUGACGGUAUCCAACCAGAAAGCCACGGCUAACUACGUGCCAGCAGCCGCGGUAAUACGUAGGUGGCAAGCGUUGUCCGGAUUUAUUGGGCGUAAAAGCGAGCGCAGGCGGUUUUCUUAGGUCUGAUGUGAAAGCCUUCGGCUUAACCGGAGAAGUGCAAUCGGAAACCAGGAG
rnacentral:rRNA from 1 species